GUUGGGGACCAGGCUGGGUUAGUGUUUUUCCAGGUCUAUCCACCAGAGGGCACCUUGUGGCUGUUUUUUCCCAGAGGGUGGACCAACAGGUCUUGGUUGACACACCUGCAAGAAAUGAUCAUCACCGUGAGGAGUAUAUGAGCAGCAGGCGGCCAGUUCCUCCUCGCCAGAGUGUUUGCCAGCAGUGGUUGUUGCAUCGGAACCGUUCGAGUUACCGGAGUCUUGGAAGAAUCCUCUCGUGCCGCUGCUGCACCGUUUCCUCUCGGUCUUGUGAGUUAGACCACCCUGUCCGCCCUCCAGCCCUGUGAACCACCUGAGCAGCCCACAACCUGGAAAUUGCCUUGCCUACCUGGCUCCGCUUGCCUCUCCCCACUCGCUCUCCAGCCACUACAAUAAUUCCCGGAUCCUGGACCGAAGAAAGAAUAAACUCCAACUAUCUUUUUUCUUUUGUCAGAGCUGUAAAUAAACCUUUUGACUAAA